rnacentral:rRNA from 1 species
CCUGCCUUGUAGCGGGGGAUAACUAUUGGAAACGAUAGCUAAUACCGCAUAACAAUGGAUGACACAUGUCAUUUAUUUGAAAGGGGCAAUUGCUCCACUACAAGAUGGACCUGCGUUGUAUUAGCUAGUAGGUGAGGUAAUGGCUCACCUAGGCGACGAUACAUAGCCGACCUGAGAGGGUGAUCGGCCACACUGGGACUGAGACACGGCCCAG